rnacentral:rRNA from 1 species
AACGAACGCUGGCGGCGCGUCUUAAACAUGCAAGUCGAACGGCAGGAAGGGGCUUGCCCCUUCUGAGAGUGGCGGACUGGUGAGUAACACGUGGGUGACAUACCUUUUAGUUGGGGAUAGCUAUUAGAAAUAGUAGGUAAUACCGAAUGUGACCGUACCUGUUAGAGGGGUACGAGGAAAGGAGCUAAGGCUUCGCUAAAAGAAUGGCUCGCGGCCCAUUAUGCUCGUUGGUGAGGUAACGGCCCACCAAGGCGAUGAUGGGUAUCCUGCCUGAGAGGGUGAACGGACACAUUGGGACUGAGAUACGGCCCAGACUUCUACGGGAGGCAGCAGUUAAGAAUAUUCCGCAAUGGACGAAAGUCUGACGGAGCGACGCCGCGUGGAUGAAGAAUGCCGAAAGGUUGUAAAAUCCUUUUAAGCCUGAUGAAUAAGCACAGUAGGGAAUGAUUGUGCGGUGACCGUAGGGCUUGAAUAAGCACCGGCUAAUUACGUG